rnacentral:rRNA from 1 species
UUUGCCUAAAAUAAAAGGUCCAGCCUGCCCAGUGACAAUGUUCAACGGCCGCGGUAUCCUAACCGUGCGAAGGUAGCGUAAUCACUUGUUCUUUAAAUGAGGACUAGUAUGAAAGGCACCACGAGAGUCAUACUGUCUCCUCUUUCCAAUCAGUUAAACUAAUCUCCCCGUGAAGAAACGGGGAUUACUAUAUAAGACGAGAAGACCCUAUGGAGCUUUAAACUAAUAACACUUGCCCAUUUCUCCUUUUAAUUUCAGAAAAAUCUACUACCUUGGCAUCAUACUUAUAAGUUUUUGAUUGGGGUGAUCACGGAAUAAAAAAUAACCUCCGCAAUGAAAGACUCUCCCUAACUAAGUCAAGAACCACAACUCUACACAUCAACAUAUUGACACAAUUGACCCAAUUUAUUGAUCAAUGAAC